GAUGAAGAACGUAGCGAAAUGCGAUAAGUAGUGUGAAUUGCAGAAUUCAGUGAAUCAUCGAAUCUUUGAACGCACAUUGCGCCCCUUGGUAUUCCAUGGGGCAUGCCUGUUCGAGCGUCAUUUGUACCUUCAAGCUUUGCUUGGUGUUGGGUGUUUGUCCCUCGGGACUCGCCUUAAAGUCAUUGGCAGCCAGUGUUUUGGUUUUGAAGCGCAGCACAAGUCGCGAUUCAAGGCUAUCCGCCCGCUUCCACAAGCCUUUUUCACUUUUGACCUCGGAUCAGGUAGGGAUACCCGCUGAACUUAAGCAUAUCAAUAGCCGAGGA
rnacentral:misc_RNA from 1 species